UUUAACAUUUUACAAGAUUUUAGUGUAGUUCACAAUGCAUUAUGGGUAAAAGAAAGUAUUACAGCUGUUAACAGUAUAUUUUCAUUUAAACUGUAAUUGAAUUUACAGGCAGGAGGUGUUGCCACUGUAUAUCAUAUGUUUUUACAAAAAUUAAUUGUGAAAUGGCAUCAUGGGAUUGCGUGGGUGUAUUUACGUUUGAAAUGGACUUGAACACUGAAGAGUCAUCAUUCAAAAUUGUUGGCAUGAGCGAGGCAGCAAAAAGCGCGAGGGGUCCGUAACGGCUGGACUGCAUGGUGGCAAAGAGUGGUGGUGAGACGAAUCUUCGAACUUACAGGCACGAGACAGCAGAGAUUGCAACUCUUAACCUGACUGGUGGUGUGAGACAAAUGAGAAAAGAUUAUUUUUAGGUGAAAUCCUCAAUGCAACUCAGUGGAUGCUGAGUAUGGACGGUCAGGUGGUUGUGAAUCCCCACCCCAACCUUGUGGCUGGAUUUGCAGCUUUGUUCGCAUCAUACUACAACUUCAACCUGGUUUAUUAGGAGGAGGCAUCCUCCACACUUGAAUUUGUUCUAAGAUGUUUUGUUGGAAUCACACCUACCACUGGCAUCAAGACAGCCAAAACAAAGGUUGGAGGCAAAAAAGUGGAAACGCCUCUGAGAAGAGAAACAACACCAUCAACCCUCAUGUGUGUACUCUUUUCAGAAAAUUAUUGGACUUUGAAUGGUUACGCAUGUAAGUUCUUGUUCAUGUAUUAAGACCAAAACAUAUUGUAAAUAGGCCAGUUCUGUGAUUGAGCACUUGUGUUUCUAGACAUACAAGUUAUGUUAUGUUCUAACACAGAUUCAACAAGAUCUUAAAUGUAACACAAACCGUGUUUAGAUGUUUUAUAGAUGCCAUUGUUUUAGAAUAUUAAGGAUUGAGUGGAAUAUUUGCUGAAACAACAUAAUUUUUUUGAAAGUACUUUGCUGUCAGUUUUAAUAAAUGUUGUUCUUGAAGCA